AUAGUAUAAUCAAGUCCAGCCUCAAUGUUGGAAUUUUACUCACUUUAAAACAGCUGGGGUAUCCAAACAGAGCUCGUAACAAGAUGAGGAAGAUCUCCCAUUAUCUGCCAUUUCUGCAGAGGGAGAUAGACAGUUAAAUUGUUCUUUAUACUAAAACCUUAAAUUUCAAAAAUUCCUGUUGAACGUCCCCAAAAAGGGCUUCCAGAAUUAUAAAUUCAUAUUCUGCCCUUAUACUAAGCAGAAAAUAAAACAUUAACAGUUUUGUAAUGCAUUUCAAGUUUGCAUUUUUAAUGACUAUAAUAUUACAUAGUAUUAGAAGUUUAUUAAAAUAGAAAUCCAAGUUCUGGAUGAAUGAAAAAGAAUAACUUAAAAGACCAAAGAAAAAUACUCCAAGUGAGCCCAAUUAAACUGUUCUUACCAACAGUUCUAGUCCAAAAAGAGCAUACCUACUAGCACUACAGCAAUUUGGUCUCUGACUGCUACACAGGGAUUACAA
rnacentral:lncRNA from 1 species